rnacentral:rRNA from 1 species
GACGAACGCUGGCGGCGUGCUUAACACAUGCAAGUCGAACGGAGUACUCAGCAAUGGGUGCUUAGUGGCGAACGGGUGAGUAACGCGUAGAUAACCUACCUCAAAGAUGGGGACAACGUCUGGAAACGGACGCUAAUACCGAAUGUGCUGUUUCGUGUGCAUAUGCGAAAUAGAAAAGGUGGCCUCUGAACAUGCUACCGCUUUGAGAUGGAUCUGCGUCUGAUUAGCUAGUUGGUGAGGUAACGGCCCACCAAGGCGACGAUCAGUAGCCGGUCUGAGAGGAUGAAACGGCCACACUGGGACUGAGACACGGUCCAGACUCCUACGGGAGGCUG